CCUAAUCAACCUAGGGUUUUAAUUUCUGUUUUCCUUUAAAUAAACCUCCUUGUUGCAGCCACAAAACAUGACCAUUCAUCCAGAAAAUAAUCCUUCACGCCAGAAACCAUUCUCCAUCUUCAACAGCCCCAUUCCUUCACCAUUCACCCAAAUUUCUGCCACAAAACCACCCUAGCCGUCCCAUACACCUAUCCCAGCCAUAAACCCAUCGUUCUACACCAUUCAUAACCCCCAAAACUCACCCAUUCGUGUGCAGCAGCAAGGAGAAAGAAGGAAGGACUCUUGGAUGCUCAAGCUUCAUCGUUGGUGCAUUCUAGGUGUAAUUCGUUUCAUGAUUUCAAUGUUUAAUUUCUUUUCCUUUUGUUUUGCUACGAACAUGAGUGGCUAAACCCCUAUUGGUUAGGGGUGAUUUCGAAGCCAUGACUAUGUGUGCAAUUUGAGUUGAUAAAUUCCAGUUAUGAGUUCUUGAAUCGUGAAUGCAAUUGGUUUAACUGUGCGAGUAAUAACUUAUUUGUGUUUGUUAAUUAGGGGUCGACACUUAAUUGGCUUGCAUGAAUAUGUUGCUAGAAUGUAAGGUUGUUUCACAUAAUCGUCACACACUUAUAUUCAUGUGUAGUGAAGGUCGCUAGUCACGAUCGCGUUAAGUCCAAUUCCUAGCAUGAGUGACAUGAUGUCAUAGUUGCAAGUGUUUUGUCAAUGCUUAUAGUUUUCAUUGAACGUAAUGAUCUUUGAUUGUAUCUUUAUUAUGAUGUCAUGUAG
rnacentral:lncRNA from 1 species